GGCUGUAGCUCAUUGGUAGAGCAUCUGCCUUGGGUGCAGGAGGUCCCAGGUUCAAUCCCCACCAAGUCCAGGUAGGGUUA